UGCCUACGGGGCGCAGCAGUGAGGAAUAUUGGUCAAUGGGCGGGAGCCUGAACCAGCCAAGUCGCGUGAGGGAUGACGGCCCUAUGGGUUGUAAACCUCUUUUGCCGGGGAGCAAAGUGCCGCACGUGUGCGGUUUGGAGAGUACCCGGAGAAAAAGCAUCGGCUAACUCCGUGCCAGCAGCCGCGGUAAUACGGAGGAUGCGAGCGUUAUCCGGAUUUAUUGGGUUUAAAGGGUGCGUAGGCGGAUUUUUAAGUCAGCGGUAAAAUGUCCGGGCUCAACCCGGGCCGGCCGUUGAAACUGGGGG
rnacentral:rRNA from 1 species